UUGAAUUGAUUGGGUCCUCAAUUGAGUGAAAGACCUUCCUAGAGGUUGCAACUGAGAGUGGGAGACAAACCAGUGUUUCAUAUAGAGCUUAUUGUGUUACUACAGUGUCAUUGUCGUGAGAGUCCAUGGAGUUUUCGGAAUAGCUUAUUGGAAGUCCUAAUACCAUAGAUUCCUUUUAGGGAGGAAGGCGAUUUUCUUCUAAAACCAUUGGAGGAGCUAAAUUGGUGACAGCCGAUAGGAAUUGCAGGUCUAAACUAAAAUGGGGUUUCACCCCUAUUCCCACGAUUUUGUUCCUUCUUCAGCAUUUGGGCAUCGAAUCAAACAAAGGAAGGCAGUGGAAUCAUUGGAGGAGAAGGGUGAUACCUAGGGGAGUGUUUUGAAGGAGUUUGAAGGUGAAUUAAAUGGCAAAAUAAGUCUGAAACAAAAUUGUAGCAGUGUUAUUUCCUUCGAUUUUUGCUCAUAACUCCCAUAUUGGCAUCAAAUAUCACCAAGAAGGAUAACGCUAGCCUUGGAGACAUAAGGAGAUUCUAACAGAGGUAUUUGGGAGGUGCAAAAAGAAGGUUUUAGUUGACAUAUCAGUUCUGAGAACAAACCAUAACAGUCAACCAUAUUCCACGAUUUUGUUCCUUGGCUCCAAACUUAGCACCAGUUUUGGCAUUUGGCAUUGGCAAUCCACUUGAGAAGGGAUAGCGAUUCUCUUUGGUGUUGAGGAGGAGAGUUUGGCAUUGCAAAUUAUUGAUUCUCAGAUCCUUCAUGACAGCAGCAGGGGCGAUUUGGAUGGAAGAUUGAAUUAAAUCAUUGGAGGCUUCAAGGUUGAUGAUAUUGCUUGCUUCUUCGAAUUCCAAGCUAGGCGAUUCAAACCAGGACUCAAUUGGGUAGCUCCCAAAGGAGGAGAUUACAGAAUAAAGCAUUGAAGUAUGGUGUUUUGCUAGUUGCCUUUACCUAUUUGCAUGGUUUCUUUCAUCAAAAUUAGUUAUAGUUCAGUAAUUUAAUGGCGAAGUGUGGGGAUAUCUGAUCAAUUUCUAGUUCAUAGCAUUGGAGAUCUGUUGAUUGUAAAUCUCUUUGCAUGGUUAGUUUGAGCAUAUUAUUGCUAUUAGUUCAAUUGUGGAUGUUUGUUUUGAUU